GAUGAACGCUGGCGGCGUGCCUAAUACAUGCAAGUCGAGCGAACAGACGAGGAGCUUGCUCCUCUGACGUUAGCGGCGGACGGGUGAGUAACACGUGGAUAACCUACCUACAAGACUGGGAUAACUUCGGGAAACCGGAGCUAAUACCGGAUAACAUGUUGAACCGCAUGGUUCAACAGUGAAAGACGGUCUUGCUGUCACUUAUAGAUGGAUCCGCGCCGCAUUAGCUAGUUGGUAAGGUAACGGCUUACCAAGGCAACGAUGCGUAGCCGACCUGAGAGGGUGAUCGGCCACACUGGAACUGAGACACGGUCCAGACUCCUACGGGAGGCAGCAGUAGGGAAUCUUCCGCAAUGGGCGAAAGCCUGACGGAGCAACGCCGCGUGAGUGAAGAAGGUCUUCGGAUCGUAAAACUCUGUUAUUAGGGAAGAACAAAUGUGUAAGUAACUAUGCACGUCUUGACGGUACCUAAUCAGAAAGCCACGGCUAACUACGUG
rnacentral:rRNA from 1 species